UACGUAGGGUGCGAGCGUUAAUCGGAAUUACUGGCGUAAAGCGUGCGCAGGCGGUGAUGUAAGACAGGUGUGAAAUCCCCGGGCUUAACCUGGGAACUGCAUUUGUGACUGCAUCGCUGGAGUGCGGCAGAGGGGAUGGAAUUCCGCGUGUAGCAGUGAAAUGCGUAGAUAUGCGGAGGAACACCGAUGGCGAAGGCAAUCCCUGGGCCUGCACUGACGCUCGAUGCACGAAAGCGUGGGAGCAAACAGG
rnacentral:rRNA from 1 species